AUUGGACGCUGGCGGCAUGCCUUACACAUGCAAGUCGAACGGUAACAGGUCUUCGGAUGCUGACGAGUGGCGAACGGGUGAGUAAUACAUCGGAACGUGCCCGAUCGUGGGGGAUAACGAAGCGAAAGCUUUGCUAAUACCGCAUACGAUCUACGGAUGAAAGCGGGGGAUCUUCGGACCUCGCGCGGACGGAGCGGCCGAUGGCAGAUUAGGUAGUUGGUGGGAUAAAAGCUUACCAAGCCGACGAUCUGUAGCUGGUCUGAGAGGAUGAUCAGCCACACUGGGACUGAGACACGGCCCAGACUCCUACGGGAGGCAGCAGUGGGGAAUUUUGGACAAUGGGCGCAAGCCUGAUCCAGCCAUGCCGCGUGCAGGAUGAAGGCCUUCGGGUUGUAAACUGCUUUUGUACGGAACGAAAAGGUGCCUUCUAAUAAAGGGCGCUCAUGACGGUACCGUAAGAAUAAGCACCGGCUAACUACGUG
rnacentral:rRNA from 1 species